rnacentral:rRNA from 1 species
ACGACGCUGGCGGCGUGCUUAACACAUGCAAGUCGAACGGUGAAGCGCCUUCCUUUUUGGUGGGUGUGGAUGAGUGGCGAACGGGUGAGUAACACGUGAGUAACCUGCCCCCUUCUUCUGGAUAACCGCAUGAAAGUGUGGCUAAUACGGGAUAUUCUGGGUCUGUCGCAUGAUGGGUCUGGGAAAGAUAUUGUUUCGGUGGGGGAUGGGCUCGCGGCCUAUCAGCUUGUUGGUGGGGUGAUGGCCUACCAAGGCGGUGACGGGUAGCCGGCCUGAGAGGGUGGACGGUCACACUGGGACUGAGACACGGCCCAGACUCCUACGGGAGGCAGCAGUGGGGAAUAUUGCACAAUGGGCGCAAGCCUGAUGCAGCGACGCCGCGUGAGGGAUGGAGGCCUUCGGGUUGUGAACCUCUUUCGCCAGUGAAGCAGGCCUGCCUCGUUUGUGGGUGGGUUGACGGUAGCUGGAGAAGAAGCGCCGGCUAACUACGUG